UUUUCAACUCUGCCAAGCAAU
rnacentral:miRNA from 1 species